GUGACCUCAAAUCAGGUAGGACUACCCGCUGAACUUAAGCAUAUCAAUAAGCGGAGGAAAAGAAACUAACAAGGAUUCCCCUAGUAACUGCGAGUGAAGCGGGAAAAGCUCAAAUUUAAAAUCUGGCGGUCUUUUGGCUGUCCGAGUUGUAAUCUAGAGAAGUGUUAUCCGCGCUGGACCGUGUACAAGUCUCCUGGAAUGGAGCAUCAUAGAGGGUGAGAAUCCCG
rnacentral:rRNA from 1 species